rnacentral:rRNA from 1 species
UACGGAGGAUGCGAGCGUUAUCCGGAUUUAUUGGGUUUAAAGGGAGCGCAGACGGGUCGUUAAGUCAGCUGUGAAAGUUUGGGGCUCAACCUUAAAAUUGCAGUUGAUACUGGUGUCCUUGAGUGCGGUUGAGGUGUGCGGAAUUCGUGGUGUAGCGGUGAAAUGCUUAGAUAUCACGAAGAACUCCGAUUGCGAAGGCAGCACACUAAGCCGUAACUGACGUUCAUGCUCGAAAGUGUGGGUAUCAAACAGG